rnacentral:rRNA from 1 species
UACGUAGGGUGCGAGCGUUGUCCGGAAUUAUUGGGCGUAAAGAGCUCGUAGGCGGCUUGUUGCGUCGGAUGUGAAAGCUCGGGGCUUAACCCCGGGUCGGCAUUCGAUACGGGCAGGCUAGAGUGUGGCAGGGGAGACUGGAAUUCCUGGUGUAGCGGUGAAAUGCGCAGAUAUCAGGAGGAACACCGGUGGCGAAGGCGGGUCUCUGGGCCAAAUACUGACGCUGAGGAGCGAAAGCGUGGGGAGCGAACAGG